rnacentral:sRNA from 1 species
AGUCAUGAUUACCGAGACCGCGGCGGAGCCCACGGUCCCUGCAGUGCCUGCUGCUGAGGAGGCCACCGAAGCUCGGGGACGCGAGGAGCCGGCGUGGCCCUGGAAAGACGCCCCGAUCCGGACGCUGGUGCAGCGCAUCCACCAGCUGCAGGCUGAGCGCGCGCAGGGCUUCCGCCGACUGGAGGAGUGAGUGGGGGUGCGGAGGGGCUCAGGGUUCAGUCCCCCGCCCGCUCCGGGCGUGGGCGUGCUCUCGGCGGGCGUGCCUGGAGGAGGAGCUGGGUCCUCGCGCGGCUGCAGAGUCAGAUGGGGCGGGGAUUUCGGGGCACCGGGUCCUCACCUUCACGAAAAAGGCCCCACAGCACGUCCCCACUACCCGACGACUCACUCCUCGUGGCUUCUCUCUCCUCCCCAAGAGCAGGGGUGGGCCUGUCUCGCGUUCUCCUGCGGGAGUCGGGAAGCGUCCUUCCUACCUAGCAGUCCUCCCCUCUGGGGUCCGGGGACACUUCCUGGGGGCCUUUCAGGUGGUUGGCGCGGGUGCAGGGCCUGAGAGCCUGGGGGCGCGGCCUCAGGGUCCCCACCUGCCGCAGAGGCCACCGCCAGUACCUGCGCAGCGGUCCUGACUACGACUUCGCGCGCUACCGGAGCACAGUGCACGAGGUGACCCAGGCCUUCGCCGCCGCCUCGCGGGAGGUGCUGGCGGUGGAAGCAGAGCUGGGCGGGCCUCGCAGGCAGCCGCUGCUCGCCGGCCACGUGCGCAGCCUGCAGGAGCUGGAGCAGACGCGGCUGGGCACGGUGGCCCUGCUGCAGCUGAUGGAGACGCCAGAGCUGGCGGGGCAGGAGGACGCUGUACGGAUGCACCAGCUGAAAAUGAAGUGAGCGCUGCUGCCCAAGCCGUCUGGCUAUGCUCGAUUUGCACCACGGUUGGCACGGUCAGACCCUGCCAGCAGAGGAACCCUCUGCCAGUGUACAAUGGUGUUCUCACCUGGUGGCCCUCAGAUAUACACUUCCCCAGAGGGCACAGCCGUGAAACUUCACAUCAAUUUUGCUGUGCAUUGCUGGGACACUGCUGUAUACCUCGACACAUGCCAAUCCUGCACACGUGGCUGUCCGUGGAACUUGGACAUGCCCCACUGAGCACAAACCUUCAGAUGCCUGUCCUCAGCCCCCAAGCACACACACUCAUGUACACACACAUCUGACAGUCACACUUCAUAACCUCCUGAUGCUACACACCCCACCAAGAUGGCCUUUUCUUUUCUUUUUUUUCUGAGACAGAGUCUCACUCUGUCGCCAGGCUGGAGUGCAGUGGCAUGAUCUCAGCUCACUGCAACCUCCGCCUCCCGGGUUCAAGUGAUUCCCCUGCCUCACCCUCCUGAGUAGCUGGGACUACAGGCGGCGUGCCACCACGCCCAGCUAAUUUUUUGUAUUUUAGUAGAGACUGGUUUCACCAUGUUGGCCAGGAUGGUCUUGAUCUCCUGACCUCGUGAUCCGCCCACCUCAGCCUCCCAAAGUGGUGGGAUUACAGGCGUAAGCCAGCACACCUGGUCCUUUAUUUUCUUUUCUUUUUUCUUUCUUUUUCUUGAGACAGAGUCUUGCUCUGUCAUCCAGGCUGGAGUGCAGUGGCGCGAUCUUGGCUUACCGUAACCUCUGCCUCCUAAGUAGCUUGGAUUACAGAUGCCCGCCACCAUGCCUGGCUAAUUCUUGUAUUUUUAGUAGAGAUGGGGAUUCGCCAUUUUGGCCAGGCUGGUUUUGAACUCCUGACCUCAGGUGAUCUGCCUGCCUCGGCUUCCCAAAGUGCUGGAUUACAGGCGUGAGCCACCAUGCCCAGCCCAGAUGGCCUUUUCUCUCAGCCCACUCUGACCUAUGGGGCCACCACUUCUCCCUAGCACCUAAGUGGUCCCUCUUGCUGCUAGUGCUGCCUGGAGGUUUGGCGGCGGGCAGGAGGGCCUGGGGCUCACCACAGCCACAGCCCUCUUGCAGCUUCGCAGCAGCAGCUAAUUCGCCCCAUCUGGGUUUUAUUUAUAGUUCCCAUCCGCUCUUGUAGGGUAAUUAAAACCAUGGAGGCGAUCAGCGAGGUUCUGCAGGACCUCAGGUUUGAUGCGGAAUCUGCCGAGUGAUGGCGGCUCCCCAGGGAUGCGCCGAGGGAGAUGGGAAACGGGGCGGAUGGCACCCAGCCCAGCCCUAACCGCCAGCUGGCUGGGGUCGCGCCCCACUGCGCUGCUGACCUUCCUGCAGUUCGAGACACCUCCCACAAUAAAGAGCUCUUCCUCUGU